UACGGAGGGGGCUAGCGUUAUUCGGAAUUACUGGGCGUAAAGCGCACGUAGGCGGCUUUGUAAGUUAGAGGUGAAAGUCUGGAGUUCAACUCCAGAACUGCCUUUGAGACUGCAUCGCUUGAAUCCAGGAGAGGUGAGUGGAAUUCCGAGUGUAGAGGUGAAAUUCGUAGAUAUUCGGAAGAAUACCAGUGGCGAAGGCGGCUCACUGGACUGGUAUUGACGCUGAGGUGCGAAAGCGUGGGGAGCAAAUAGG
rnacentral:rRNA from 1 species